rnacentral:rRNA from 1 species
UAUGAAGGGGGCUAGCGUUGCUCGGAAUCACUGGGCGUAAAGGGUGCGUAGGCGGGUUUUUAAGUCAGAGGUGAAAUCCUGGAGCUCAACUCCAGAACUGCCUUUGAUACUGGAAAUCUUGAGUAUGGGAGAGGUGAGAGGAACUGCGAGUGUAGAGGUGAAAUUCGUAGAUAUUCGCAAGAACACCAGUGGCGAAGGCGGCUCACUGGCCCAUAACUGACGCUGAGGCACGAAAGCGUGGGGAGCAAAC